rnacentral:lncRNA from 1 species
CACCCAUCCUGGAGGAACUCUUUCUGAGAGUCAUCAGUCAAACACACAGCUGCCUGCAGGGCGCUGAUUUGGAGGAGUCCUCUCCAGACUCAGAGAUGACCACUGCUCAUAAAUCACUGAGAAUUGCUUUACUGGGGCUCAGCCUUUCAGCACAGCCAUUUUCAAGGCUAACAGCAUGCACAUCAAAGCAUGAAAGUGCUGCCGCCUGCCUCCUCAGAUACUGGCCAGUCUUGGCUGCAGGAAGAAGUCAGCAUAUGGAAAGGAAAAUUGAAGUGAAAUGCAUGGAGUCUCAAAUAAAAAACAACAACAACAAACAAACAAAUGAAAAAAAAAAGCAACCAACCAACCAAAAACAAAAAAUGAAAAACCCUGAAACGCCACAACCAUGGGGCCAUGUCUGUUGGACACUAUUUGAAGCUUCAUACUAAUCUGAGCAAUUGCAGCCAUAGACUACCUGGGCAAAGAGCGAAGCUGCUCCUGACUGCACUUGUUUUCUCUGGCAUCACUUUUCUCGAGUAUUUCCAAACACCACUGAGUUUUGUGGUCUCAUACAGACAUGACUUUGGUACCUAAAUAGAAGACAAGUCCAGCUUUGGCUCGUUGCUCCACAGCCCACAACAAAAUGGCUGUGGAAGAGACCAGAGGGGGAGGAAGACCAAGUAAGCUCAUCCUCUCAUUUUGCAAUUAUGAGAUGCCAGUAAAGCCUCGGUGCUCUGCUAGGCAAUGGAGCUGCCAAACACACCAGAGCUAGCAUCUGCUUGACAGACUUGCCCUGGGGCAUACGGGCGUGACAUCAGUAAGUUAAUGAGCAGAGAAAGGGGGAUUACUUUGGAACACCUGUUCCACACUAAUACCUUUCCAUUUUACCAGUACUCAUUGCUUUUGGCUGCAUCACCUGCAGGAGUUGCCUUGUUCCCAGCUGAGCCAAAGUCUCACCACGGUGAAAGAUGAUAGGACUCUAAUUAAAAACACAUAAACCAUUUCACCAAAGCUGGCAUAAACAGAGUGAUGGUGACACACACAGAUUAGAAAGAGAGCCCAAGCAUUUGGGUGCCAGGCUGUUCUCUAGGAGUCAUGGAUAUUGUCACUGGUGGGCAGCUCCGUCUGGACCCUCCUGGAGCACUAGGCAGAGAUUACUCACAAGCGCUAAUUGGAGGCCACAGUUAAACAGUUAAAGUCUGGAGAUUCAGAAAUUAGG